UUAAAUUGAAGAGUUUGAUCAUGGCUCAGAUUGAACGCUGGCGGCAGGCCUAACACAUGCAAGUCGAACGGUAACAGGAAGCAGCUUGCUGCUUUGCUGACGAGUGGCGGACGGGUGAGUAAUGUCUGGGAAACUGCCUGAUGGAGGGGGAUAACUACUGGAAACGGUGGCUAAUACCGCAUAACGUCGCAAGACCAAAGAGGGGGACCUUCGGGCCUCUUGCCAUCAGAUGUGCCCAGAUGGGAUUAGCUAGUUGGUGAGGUAACGGCUCACCAAGGCGACGAUCCCUAGCUGGUCUGAGAGGAUGACCAGCCACACUGGAACUGAGACACGGUCCAGACUCCUACGGGAGGCAGCAGUGGGGAAUAUUGCACAAUGGGCGCAAGCCUGAUGCAGCCAUGCCGCGUGUAUGAAGAAGGCCUUCGGGUUGUAAAGUACUUUCAGCGGGGAGGAAGGUGUUGUGGUUAAUAACCGCAGCAAUUGACGUUACCCGCAGAAGAAGCACCGGCUAACUCCGUGCCAGCAGCCGCGGUAAUACGGAGGGUGCAAGCGUUAAUCGGAAUUACUGGGCGUAAAGCGCACGCAGGCGGUCUGUCAAGUCGGAUGUGAAAUCCCCGGGCUCAACCUGGGAACUGCAUUCGAAACUGGCAGGCUUGAGUCUUGUAGAGGGGGGUAGAAUUCCAGGUGUAGCGGUGAAAUGCGUAGAGAUCUGGAGGAAUACCGGUGGCGAAGGCGGCCCCCUGGACAAAGACUGACGCUCAGGUGCGAAAGCGUGGGGAGCAAACAGGAUUAGAUACCCUGGUAGUCCACGCCGUAAACGAUGUCUACUUGGAGGUUGUGCCCUUGAGGCGUGGCUUCCGGAGCUAACGCGUUAAGUAGACCGCCUGGGGAGUACGGCCGCAAGGUUAAAACUCAAAUGAAUUGACGGGGGCCCGCACAAGCGGUGGAGCAUGUGGUUUAAUUCGAUGCAACGCGAAGAACCUUACCUGGUCUUGACAUCCACAGAACUUUCCAGAGAUGGAUUGGUGCCUUCGGGAACUGUGAGACAGGUGCUGCAUGGCUGUCGUCAGCUCGUGUUGUGAAAUGUUGGGUUAAGUCCCGCAACGAGCGCAACCCUUAUCCUUUGUUGCCAGCGAUUAGGUCGGGAACUCAAAGGAGACUGCCAGUGAUAAACUGGAGGAAGGUGGGGAUGACGUCAAGUCAUCAUGGCCCUUACGACCAGGGCUACACACGUGCUACAAUGGCGCAUACAAAGAGAAGCGACCUCGCGAGAGCAAGCGGACCUCAUAAAGUGCGUCGUAGUCCGGAUUGGAGUCUGCAACUCGACUCCAUGAAGUCGGAAUCGCUAGUAAUCGUGGAUCAGAAUGCCACGGUGAAUACGUUCCCGGGCCUUGUACACACCGCCCGUCACACCAUGGGAGUGGGUUGCAAAAGAAGUAGGUAGCUUAACCUUCGGGAGGGCGCUUACCACUUUGUGAUUCAUGACUGGGGUGAAGUCGUAACAAGGUAACCGUAGGGGAACCUGCGGUUGGAUCACCUCCUUACCU
rnacentral:rRNA from 1 species